AAUCUUCCGCAAUGGACGAAAGUCUGACGGAGCAACGCCGCGUGAGCGAAGAAGGUCUUCGGAUCGUAAAGCUCUGUUGUCAGGGAAGAACAAGUACCGUUCGAUAAGGGCGGUACCUUGACGGUACCUGACGAGAAAGCCCCGGCUAACUACGUGCCAGCAGCCGCGGUAAUACGUAGGGGGCAAGCGUUAUCCGGAAUUACUGGGUGUAAAGGGUGCGUAGGCGGUAAUGAAAGUCAGGUGUGAAAGCCCGAAGCUCAACUUCGGGAUUGCACUUGAAACUUCAUAACUAGAGUACAGGAGAGGUGAGUGGAAUUCCUAGUGUAGCGAUGAAAUGCGUAGAUAUUAGGAGGAACACCAGUGGCGAAGGCGACUUUCUGGACUGUAACUGACGCUGAGGUACGAAAGCGUGGGUAGCGAACA
rnacentral:rRNA from 1 species